rnacentral:rRNA from 1 species
UACAGAGGGUGCAAGCGUUGUUCGGAAUUAUUGGGCGUAAAGCGCGUGUAGGCGGCUUUGCAAGUCGGGUGUGAAAGCCCUCAGCUCAACUGAGGAAGGGCGCCCGAAACUGCAGAGCUUGAGUACCGGAGAGGGUGGCGGAAUUCCCCAAGUAGAGGUGAAAUUCGUAGAUAUGGGGAGGAACACCGGUGGCGAAGGCGGCCACCUGGACGGUCACUGACGCUGAGUGAGCGAAAGCCAGGGGAGCAAACGGG